CUAGGUUUGAUCCUCAGCACCACAUAAAAAUAAACAAAGAUAUUUCCCAAUCACUCUGAUAUCUCAUUAAAAAAAAGAUCCAAGCACAACUCAGUAUUCUGAUAUACAUUUAUGCCAAUCACAUAAAUGUAUGAAACACAAAAUUAUGUACAAUGCAUAUAUCUGAUGGUGACAACUGGUUGUGUUGCUGGCUUUUGUGUUUACUAUAUCAUGCUUUUUACUGAUAUUUUAGAGUGAUUUCUACUUUUAAAAAAAUGUCUACUAUAAAGCAGUGUGCUGUGUUUCGCUGGCAGCAGCCUCAUACAUCUCGUGUUUACCACAUCUCUUGAUUGCAUCAUUUUCUCUUCUGCUUGAUUUAAUCUCAUGUUGUUUUGUUCAUCCUAGGAGUUGUUUUGUUCACCCUAGAAGUUGUUUUGUUCAUCCUAGGAGUUGUUUUGGUCCUAGGAGCAACAGGCUAUACCAUAAAUCUAGGUGUGUGGUAGGCUAUACCAUCCAGGUUUGUGUGAGUCCACUCUUGGAUGUUCACACAGGAAUGAAAUCACCUGAUGACUCAUUAUAUCUCAGAACGUCCUCAUCAUUAAGUGACAUAUGACUAUACCUUUGGGUACUUCUUUCAGUCUGCUUUGGAAUAGUCUUCGUGUUCACACCACCCCCAAGUUAGAAACUGUGUCCUGGAAUAUAAGAGCUAUCCAUUCCUUUUCCAUGAGCAUACAUGCUAUUGUGUUGGCCCCAGGGUUUUGGAACUAGAGUAAGUUCUCAGCAAAAGUUUGGCACUUGAAUACAGCAACUUGAUGGACAGAACUGAGUUUAAGUGCCCCUCUGCCUAUUAAUAACUAUGUGACCUUGGACAAGUGAAUUAUCCUCUCUGAACCUCUUAGGUCAAAACUUACAAAUAGAAGUUUAUAAUAACGCCUCCCCCAUGGCAUGUUGACAAAUGAAUGAGAUAGCACACAGAAUGUGUAAUGUAACACUUGCCAGUCAUAUAGUAGUUCCUGGCAAACUUGUGUCUCCAACUUCAUACUACAUACUUUGGGAGUUUUUCCAUCUUUUUCCCUAGACCCCCUCGAGUUGGUAUCUGGGGAUAAGGACACCAGAAUAUUAACUUUGAAAGACAAAAAUGGGCCUAAGGAUAUAGUUCUGUGAUAGAGCACUUGCCUACCAUGCAUGAGAUCCUAGGUUUGAUCCCUAGCACUGCAAAAGAAAAAGACAAAGAUGACUUUCAUGUAACCUAAUAGUAAAGAUAGAAAAGAUUCUAAAGAAAGUCGGUGAGAACCAUACUGGCAACCCCAGGCCCUGGAGGAGGUGGGGGCUACUCCUUUCUCAACUAAAGAGGUCAGAUCCUACCUAGGAAAUCAGGCCCAUUAGUCUCUGCAAGCUGAAGAUUAGCACCUACUAGAGACCCUCACCAAAGCCCUGGCCACACUGUACUGUAAGCCUGAGGCCCUGUGAGCUUGCUUGGAAUAUGGAGAAGAGGCAUUUUCACUGGAACUUGGCCAAUGGGUCUCUAGCAGUGGGGGUGAAGGGUACAGAGGCCAGGAUUCUAGAGGUCAGGGAGCUCCUCCUCUCAUCAAGAUACACUCUGUGCCAAACAGCCUUCUGCCCAUACCUUGGUUUCCAGGAGCAACCAUUCUGGGAAGAGGCAGGGGAAUGGAGUGUGGGGUGAAGAAGGCCGGCAUAUAGCUGGUAUGCAGAAUGAUGUUCUUUUUGGAAGCUGUGAUCUCUGGGCACUUAUUAAAUAGGCAUUUGGAUAUUUUCAGUCUCCUGAGAAACUGGGUAGACCACCAACUUUCCUCAGAGCUGGGCUCCCUAAAAUAAGUUGAUCUACUUACUUCUCCACACCAUCCCCAUCAGCCUGUCCUAAAUCUAGGUCUCUGUGAUGGGGCAUUAUUGUGGGAUUGAAACUGAG
rnacentral:lncRNA from 1 species